AUCGCGUUUUGUGACGUGAUCAAUGAUAGGGCAGUCGUAAUGAAACAAGUGGAGCGGUUAAUAGCUAUCACCACGCUCAUUGGUUGUUCUAUAUAUAUAGUCAUACUUUACAAUCGCUUCGUUAACGGUUCCACUCAGAGCAAACUAAACAGACUAUUCCUUUUAUUAUCUGGACUAAUAAUACACAACUUAUUUUCAAAGGCAUUUGUACAAAAUUUAGUCAUGUAUUGAAAGAACGAAACAUUUUAUUGAAAUAGUGAGAUUUAAACUUUCUACCGCGUUAUUGUCAAGAUAUUGUUUGUUAUCUUUAAUAUGCAUCUGUUAACAGUUUUAACACUAACUUGCAUAUUGACAUGUUUAUAUACGCGACGGACCAGUGCCAGACCCUUGGAGGAUGGACAACUUUCAGCUCUGACAGACGAGGUGCUAUACGAUGAUAUUAACCUAGUUCCUCAGCCCCCAAUGUCCAGGAACACCCUAUUAUCACUGCUACUUCAGAGAUUGGCUCCAAGUGGGGAUGAAACAUUUCAGACGAGAGGGAAACGACAGCGUCGCUGUUAUUGGUCCGUGGUCACGUGCUAUGGAUGACGUCACAAGUGAAGAAACAAAAUCACAAAAGUGAUGUAACAUAUUAAUUUUGUAAAUAUAAACAAAACUGACGUUGGUUAUUUGACAAAAGAUGGACAAAUUCAAAUCACUUCUGAAAUUUAUAAAAUUAUCUACACGCAUGUUAAACAGUGUGUCCAUUUAAUCACUGAAUUUUUAUUUUGAAUGAUUUACUUUGUGUAUGAGAAGGUGUCAAUAAACCGUAAAACGUCUUGA